rnacentral:rRNA from 1 species
CUACGGGGCGCUGCAGUGAGGAAUAUUGCACAAUGGGGGAAACCCUGAUGCAGCAACGCCGCGUGGAGGAUGACGCAUUUCGGUGUGUAAACUCCUUUUAUGAGUCAAGAAAAUGACGGUAGCUCAUGAAUAAGCACCGGCUAACUCCGUGCCAGCAGCCGCGGUAAUACGGAGGGUGCAAGCGUUACUCGGAAUCACUGGGCGUAAAGGACGCGUAGGCGGGCUUGUAAGUAAGGUGUGAAAUCCUACAGCUUAACUGUAGAACUGCACUUGAAACUACGAGCCUAGAGUAUGGGAGGGGCAGAUGGAAUUAGUGGUGUAGGGGUAAAAUCCGUAGAUAUCACUAGGAAUACCGAAAGCGAAGGCGCUCUGCUGGAACAUUACUGACGCUAAGGCGUGAAAGCGUGGGGAGCAAACGGGAUUAGAUACCCUGGUAGUC